rnacentral:lncRNA from 1 species
UUAUAAGAGUGAAGAUAUAUUGGUGGAAAUAAUAGUUAUUGGUAUGACUGAAUUGUUGCAAGGAAGAGAGUGAUAAGGUGAAAGGAGAGAUUAUCGUUUUCCUAUGUGCUUAGACAAUGGAAAUAGUGACGAUACAUUGGAGGUAAUUAAUUGUGUGAUCCUAACGUGAACGCUCAAGCAACUAGUCACUCCCCGUGUUCGAAUUCCCCUAUAUGGGUUUAUUCUGGGAAGUUUCUUCCGAAAUAA